rnacentral:lncRNA from 10 species
CUCUGGAGGCUGGAAAUCCAACAACAGAGUGCCAGCAUGAUCAGGUUCUGGAGAGGACCCUCUUCCUGUUUGCAGACUGCUGACUUCUUAUUGUAUAUUCCAAUGGUAGAAAGAGAGCAAGAGAACUCUCUGGAGUCUUUUUUUUAUAAGGGUGCUAACCCCAUUUAAGGAGGUUUCCCCUCAUAAUCUAAUUAUCUCUCAAAAGCCAUACCUUUCAACACCAUUGCAUUGAAGAUCUUUACCAUGCUGGAUUGGAAGAGAAAAGACCAUCACUAAAGCAAAUGGAUCAAAUGGAGUUAUAAAUCAACUCUGUACUCUACAGGAUUGACUCAACUGCAGACAUCUCCAAUACACUCCCUCAUGGCUUUAUUUUUUCUGCUUAUGUGGAAAAAUAACAGUAAAUACAGUUAACUAUCCCAAGACAGAAGAGUAUUAUU